CCCCCGGUCACGGAAAUUUCUAGCAGAGUUGGUUUUGCUAGAAUCCUGCUAGAAUGGUUCUAGCAGGCCUGCCAGAAUUCUGUAAGAAUUUUGCUAGAAUUUUCUGACAGAGCGAAAUUUGCGAAAGCUGUCGAAAAUGACGUAAAUUUCGCCAAACCGCAUUGUGACCGCCAUCUUGUCAUGAAAGUUGCAAACUUUCAAUGAUUUUAAAGAAAUUUUGCAUCAGAGCCGUUUAGUUAGUCACCUGGCCAUUCGGAGUUUGGUGCAUCUUCCGGAAGGCUUGUUCAAAUUUAUGAAAGUCAGCAACAAUAACAUGUGCUCACGGCGGAACCCCCCGCAGGAACUUGGAUUCCGGCAGCCGCCCAACGGACAUAAUCUUAACCGGCUCCUGGAACAGACGGAAGGCGCCGCUUCAACUAGUUCGUCCUGUUCAACCACAUGGAAAAGCUGGCUCAGUGUAUGCUGCUCCGAAAAAAUAUCCGGAAGAAGGAAAAACAACAAAGACGAUGUGAUGUGUAGUGAGUGAUUUUGUGUAUAAUAAAACAAAAGAAAUUUUGUCUUUUUUAUAAUGAAAAUAGUUAAAAAUAUAAUUCAUUUCAUUCUACAGAAAUUUUCAGCUUGAAUUUUCUAGCAAAAUUCUAGCAGGAUUCUAGCAAAAAUUCUCUCCGCUUCAUUCUAGCAAAAUUCUAACAGAAUUCUAGCAGGAGGCCUGUCAGAAUCGUUCUAGCAACAUUCUAGCAGGAUUCUUACAGAACCGGUUGAUUUCGCCGGCUCCUGCUACCCAGUCACGACGUUCUAGCAGGAUUCUAGCAGAGUUCUCACAGAGCUGGAUAUUCUUACAGCAUUCUAGCAAAAAUGUUCAACCGUUCUAGCAGGAUUCUGGCAGAACCAGCUCUGCUAGAAUAUUUCGUGACUGGGUAGAAUCGGUUAUUGCAUUUGAGCCAGAAUUCUCUAAGAAUUCUAGCAAAGAUCUAGCAGGAUGCUGGCACAGUGCUAGUAAGAAUAUUUUCGCUCUGUUAGAAUUCUGUAAGAAUCCUGCGAGAACGCCAUGACUGGGCUGGGGCAGUUGCUCCACCCAUCAUAAAAAAAUGUUCUGAGUUUGAUCAGGGGUGUCCAUGAACGGCAAUUUUAAAAUCAUCCAUAUUAUUGACCCACCUUCCUUCAGAUACUAGGCACGCUAGUAAUGCUGACUUUAGGCGAUAAAGGAUAGUUGCAAAACGACAGCUAUGAAAUUUCCCAGGUGCACUGGACCCAACCGUAAAAAUCGUUUAGUAAAUAGUUUUUCCCCAAACUUUCGUGCGCCUGGUUUACAAUGUAAAACGUAAAAAUCAAAAUUUGGUCUGAACAGGAAAAUUAAAAAUAUGGUUUGCAAAAUCUAUGCGUAAAAGUCAAACAAAUCCUGAUCUUUAUAGCACAUUUUGAUGUGACCAAAAGUGACCUGUUAAAUGCAUCAAGGAUAACCGGAUUUCAUCAAGUUUUACAAAAAUGCGAGCGAUUUCAAGAUAUUUAAUGUUUUUGAAAUUGAAGCUUCAAUACCCGUUUUACAAUAUUUCUCUUUACCGAAGUGGGCUCAUAUGUUGUAUGAGUUCAUCUCAUGUAUGGAAAAACCAGGGGGUAGCGAAAAAGCCGCCAUCUUGGAAGUUCAGAUAACAAACACUGAGAAACAGUAUUAUACAUAUUAAUUUGCUACCCCGAAGUGUGUUAUCCUGGUUAAACUCAAAAGUCCCAUGCAAAUGUGUAAAACCAAACCGAAAUAUGUUUAAUGCCGAUUCUCAUUGUACGGGCGCACUGUUUGAUCGACCAAAAGAAAAAAAGGAAAAAAUCACUUUUUUCGAUAUGAAUUAUCUGCCAAUAUUAGGAUGGAAUCUCCAAGGAUAUGAUGGAACUUGCCAUAAGCAACACAAUUCACGUGUUUUUUCAGGUAGGGGAAAUCUACCCUUUCCAAUCAAACACCUAUCUUCGUCAUAUGGAGAGUUUGAUGCUCGAUUAAAGCUCCAAAAAUACUAUUUGGGCUAUAAAUUUACCAGCAACAGCACCGCCUCGAGUAAGCACGCAAAUGUAUGCCUUUUACUGGCCAAAAAGAUCACAUUUAAUGCACUUUUGAUCAUAAUUUGUAUUUUGCGAGACCACUUCUCAUCAUUUUGUUGGCACACACAGUGACACACACGAGAAUCCCUCAAACGCUUAAUGAAUAUCGCCAAAAUUAACUUUUCACUUUCGCUUACUUUUUCACGGCGCUUAAGAUGUGAAAUUGCUUCCAACUACCGGCAACAUGUUCUUUUGAUCAUUAGUAAGGCACUCACUUGAAGAAUAAUCCCGAAAAAUGUAAUAAAUUAGCAAGCGCCAUCAAAAAAACAAACGCGCCAAGUCGUUUGACGUUUCAAUUUUCACUUUGCAUUCCACUCGAAGGCUGAAGAAAACCGAGCGAGAGACGAAGGCAAAAAAGAACAAAGGCUGGCCGUCAACACCACCAGCAGCACAGCCAGCGAUGCCAGGAAACUUUCCCUAUAAAUGCCACUUUUCGUGAGUGUUCGUUUGAACUGUCAGCGCAAAUGGCAACACUCGACAGAGUGUUGGAAGAAAAAAGAACUAAGCCGAUAUUAGAAAAAUGGGCGUGGCCCAAUGCAUUCGCCUCGAUUAGAAUACCCUUGGGAUUUUUUUUUUGUUAAAUGCUUGGUAAAGAAAUAGAAUAACUUUUAGUGAAAGUGAAAAUAAACAGAAAUGUUCACAAAAACUUGCUCUACUCGUUGGUGUACUUGGUUUUAGUAAAAUUCAAGGGAGACUCUAGAUUAUCCAGCAUCAUUCAUACACGACCGCUUAUUAGGAUUAAAAUGGGUAGAUUUCCCCUA